GCAAACUUGGUCAUUUAGAGGAAGUAAAAGUCGUAACAAGGUCUCCGUAGGUGAACCUGCGGAGGGAUCAUUUAUAGACGCCCGUCUCCGAGCCGGUCUCGAGGCGGGCACCCCCUCUCGGAGGGGGCCGUCUUAUCCCUGCGGCGGACCCGACGUCCGUCGGCGCCUCCGUGUGCCGCGAAGCCUUCUUUGGCCCGUCCGAGGAAGAAAGCAAGUCCGAAAACUUUUGACGGUGGAUCUCUUGGCUCUCGCAUCGAUGAAGAACGCAGC
rnacentral:misc_RNA from 1 species